AGAUUGGAAAAAAAAUAAAGUAUAUUUACAGAAAUAUUGCAAAAUUAAUGAAUGUUAGAAGGAUGCUGAAAUGAAGUUAUAUGGCUUUAGCAGAAAUGUUAUAAAGAAUUAAGUAAAAAUAGAUUGUUAAUGGGCCAAAGUGGAAAAUUUAAGGUUAGAUUGUGUUAAGAUAAAUUAUAGAACAAAAAUUGAGAAAGAUGGAAAGGAUUUGCUGAAAUAGCUAAUUGAACUAGAAUACAAAAAAGGGAGGUGUGAGGAGGUCGAUGAAACAGGUAAAUGAAAGAUAAAGAUAUGGAAAUAUUGGAUGUGUUUUUAAAUGUUUUUGUUUUU